rnacentral:rRNA from 1 species
GAUGAACGCUGACAGAAUGCUUAACACAUGCAAGUCCACUUGAACUUCGGUUUGGGUGGCGGACGGGUGAGUAACGCGUAAAGAACUUGCCUCACAGAUAGGGACAACAUUUGGAAACGAAUGCUAAUACCUGAUAUUAUGAUUAUAUGGCAUCGUAUAAUUAUGAAAGCUAUAUGCGCUGUGAGAGAGCUUUGCGUCCCAUUAGCUAGUUGGAGAGGUAACGGCUCACCAAGGCGAUGAUGGGUAGCCGGCCUGAGAGGGUGAUCGGCCACAAGGGGACUGAGACACGGCCCUUACUCCUACGGGAGGCAGCAGUGGGGAAUAUGGGACAAUGGACCAAGAGUCUGAUCCAGCAAUUCUGUGUGCACGAUGAAGUUUUUCGGAAUGUAAAGUGCUUUCAGUUGGGAAGAAAAAAAUGACGGUACCAACAGAAGAAGUGACGGCUAAAUACGUG